rnacentral:rRNA from 1 species
AUUGAACGCUGGCGGCAGGCCUAACACAUGCAAGUCGAGCGGAUGAAGGGAGCUUGCUCCUGGAUUCCGCGGCGGACGGGUGAGUAAUGCCUAGGAAUCUGCCUGGUAUUGGGGGAUAACGUCCGUAAACGGGCGCUAAUACCGCAUACGUCCUGAUGUAGAAAGUGGGGGAUCUUCGGACCUCACGCUAUCAGAUGAGCCUAGGUCGGAUUAGCUAGUUGGUGGGGUAAAGGCCUACCAAGGCGACGAUCCGUAACUGGUCUGAGAGGAUGAUCAGUCACACUGGAACUGAGACACGGUCCAGACUCCUACGGGAGGCAGCAGUGGGGAAUAUUGGACAAUGGGCGAAAGCCUGAUCCAGCAAUGCCGCGUGUGUGAAGAAGGUCUUCGGAUUGUAAAGCACUUUAAGUUGGGAGGAAGAGAAGUAAGUUAAUACCUGGCUGUUUUGACGUUACCAACAGAAUAAGCACCGGCUAACUUCGUG